GUUACUGUGUCUCGUUUUCCUUCAAUGGUGAUGGCACGUGCCGUCUGCAUUCUGUCAAGUUUGAGAACAGCGCCAACCAUCUCCCUUCGUUAGGAUGGCGUUACUAUUAUCCCAACCCAGGUUAUUGUCCAGUUGAACACGGGUAUGUGCUGAUUGACAGGUUAAACUUAUGUUUGAAGGCGUCCACCGACAAAAAAUCGUUUGAACAAGCACGUAACAUUUGCAGCCAAUCCUGCGCCAGGCUGAUUGUCCUAGACACGGAAGCGAAAAACACAGCUGUCACCAGUCAUAUCAAUGUAUCCAGAAGUCCAGAUCCAGGCGAAUAUUUCAUUGGCCUGAGAGACGUGGUCACCGAGAACGUGUUCGUGUGGGAGGACGGCAACACCGCUGUGUUCAAGAAGUGGGAUAAGUGGGAGCCCAACGACGCCCUCGACGGUGAGGACUGUGUGCUGCUAACGCCGUGGAAGGCGACGUGGUACGACAUAUCUUGUGGUGCCAGACACAAAUACAUCUGUGAAAAACAACCAUGGUGGAGCCCGUGACCGAGUGAUUGAAAACAUAUAUCAUUGUACAAAGAACAACGGAAUCGGGCCCAAGUUUGACAACUUACGAGGUCCUACACUAUAUACAUACACUAUACGUGGUGCCCUUGUGAAAAAACAACCAUGGUGAACACGAUCCUGCAGGCACGGCGGAAGCAAGUUACUUAGUAGACAUUGGAGGG